rnacentral:rRNA from 1 species
UCGGGAAUUUUGGGCAAUGGGCGAAAGCCUGACCCAGCAACGCCGCGUGAAGGAUGAAGUAUUUCGGUAUGUAAACUUCGAAAGAAUAGGAAGAAUAAAUGACGGUACUAUUUAUAAGGUCCGGCUAACUACGUGCCAGCAGCCGCGGUAAUACGUAGGGACCAAGCGUUGUCCGGAAUCAUUGGGUUUAAAGGGUCCGUAGGCGGUUAGAUAAGUCAGUGGUGAAAGCCCAUCGCUCAACGGUGGAACGGCCAUUGAUACUGUCUGACUUGAAUUAUUAGGAAGUAACUAGAAUAUGUAGUGUAGCGGUGAAAUGCUUAGAGAUUACAUGGAAUACCAAUUGCGAAGGCAGGUUACUACUAAUGGAUUGACGCUGAUGGACGAAAGCGUGGGUAGCGAACAGGAUUAGAUACCCCCGUAGUCCCUGAGCGGGCUGGCAAGGCGCAU